UUGAAUGUGACCAUGUUCUGUGAGAGUUAUCGAGGGUACACCUGAGACGCUGGGGAGAGAAGGAGCACUGUGAUAACAGUAACAUUAGUCUCCAGAAUAAAACUGAGACUUUGAGUUGGAAUGGGACAAACAACUUGUCAAUCAGCAGAUGUAUUUAGGCACUGAUGUUGGAGUAAAAAGGACUAAUUGUACAUGUUAGGAAGUAUUUGAUAGUCAAAUGGAGUUCUCAUCUAAUAUCACUGUAUUGACCAUCAGUAGCAUCUGAUAUGCAGAGAUCUUAGUUUUGCAGUUGACUCUGCUGUCAAAUUUAUAACAUUUUGUACAAUCAACCACUACCAAUUUCAAGCGUAUCGGUAUAGUCUGUUUUUCCCAGAACUAUCUCCCAGAUUCAUUGCAUUAUCUCAUACUAAUCCCAAGUAAGCAAGUAACCAAUUAUCAUCUUCUUCUAAUGUGCAACAGUAUCCAUCUGUGGUGUUUGCAAAAUAAUGCAGUAAUGUGCUGAGAGUAUCAUCCAACAGAGUAUUGGGGAAGGUUGUUGAAUCAAUUCAACUCUCUUCCACUGGGAAGAAUCAAAUUUCAUUUUCACUGGGCAGAAGGAGCUGGAGUGUUUCUCCUUAUAUUCCAACAUUAAUGAGGAUAAUAGCCAUCCUGGGCUUCCUGGGAUAAUUUUAUAGCUUCUCCCAACCAUAUCAAGGAACCAGCUGCCUGAUGUGUGAGUUGACCACCAAUUACCUGCAACAAUACAUUGUAGAUAUAGUGCGCUGAAUUUCGUGCUGAGAUGGGGCUGCCCCCCCCCCACCCCACUCCAUCAGUACUGUUCUCUAGUAUUCACUUGGCGGAAGGCAAGCUGGAUUGUGUUUGCAAAUGCACUUGCAUGAGAUGAGGAACUGCUGAGGGCUUGUUCUUACAGAAACAUGGCUCCAGAACAAUA